rnacentral:rRNA from 1 species
UACGGGGGGGGCAAGCGUUGUUCGGAAUUACUGGGCGUAAAGGGCUCGUAGGCGGCCAACUAAGUCGGAUGUGAAAUCCCCAGGCUUAACCUGGGAACUGCAUCCGAUACUGGAUGGCUUGAAUCCGGGAGAGGGAUGCAGAAUUCCAGGUGUAGCGGUGAAAUGCGUAGAUAUCUGGAGGAACACCGGUGGCGAAGGCGGGUCUCUGGGCCGAUACUGACGCUGAGGAGCGAAAGCGUGGGGAGCAAACAGG